rnacentral:rRNA from 1 species
UACGUAGGGCGCAAGCGUUGUCCGGAUUCACUGGGUGUAAAGGGUGCGCAGGCGGGAAAGUAAGUUAGAGGUGAAAUCUCACAGCUCAACUGUGAAACUGCCUUUGAUACUGCUUUUCUUGAGUUAGGGAGAGGUUGAUGGAAUUCCAGGUGUAGCGGUGAAAUGCGUAGAUAUCUGGAAGAACACCGGUGGCGAAGGCGGUCAACUGGCCCUAAACUGACGCUCAGGCACGAAAGCGUGUGGAUCAAACAGG